rnacentral:rRNA from 1 species
GAUCUUUAUAUAUUAGUAAUUUAUAUAAAAAUUAGUUGAUUUGUUUUUUAAAAUUAUAAUAUAUUAUAUUGGGGUAAUAAUAAAAUUUUAAUAAUUUUUAUUUAUUAAAUUCAAUUUUAAUUGAUUUUUUGAUCCAAUAUUAUUGAUUAAAAAAUUAAGUUACCUUAGGGAUAACAGCAUAAUGAUUUUUGAGAGUUCUUAUCAAUAAAAUAGUUUGU